GCCUUCUUAGUUCAGUGGUUAGAAUUUUUCACUAGUAACCGUCGCUCCAGUGAUCUUCACCAGACGACCUGCUACGAUGAAAGGGUCACCCGUUCAAUUCGGGUAGAAGGCA